rnacentral:rRNA from 1 species
UAAUACGAGGGGGGCAAGCGUUGUUCGGAAUUAUUGGGCGUAAAGGGAGCGUAGGCGGUUUUGUAAGUCGUGUGUGAAAUCUUCGGGCUCAACCCGAAGUCUGCACACGAAACUGCAGGGCUUGAGUAUGGGAGAGGUGAGUGGAAUUCCUGGUGUAGCGGUGAAAUGCGUAGAUAUCAGGAGGAACACCUGUGGCGAAAGCGGCUCACUGGACCAUUACUGACGCUGAGGCUCGAAAGCUAGGGGAGCAAACAGGAUUAGAUACCCUGGUAGUCCUAGCCCUAAACGAUGACUGCUUGGUGUGGCGGGUACCCAAUCCCGCCGUGCCGUAGCUAACGCGUUAAGCAGUCCGCCUGGGGAGUACGGUCGCAAGGCUG